UACGUAGGGUGCAAGCGUUGUCCGGAAUCAUUGGGCGUAAAGAGCGUGUAGGCGGCCCGAUUAGUCCGCUGUGAAAGUCCAGGGCUCAACCCUGGAAUGCCGGUGGAUACUGUCGGGCUAGAGUCCGGAAGGGGCGAGUGGAAUUCCUGGUGUAGCGGUGAAAUGCGCAGAUAUCAGGAGGAACACCAAUGGCGAAGGCAGCUCGCUGGGACGUGACUGACGCUGAGACGCGAAAGCGUGGGGAGCAAACGGG
rnacentral:rRNA from 1 species